AAACGUGUGUGUGUGUGUGUGUGUGUGUGUGUGUGUGUGUGUGUUUAUGUAAGAAUGUCCUGAGCCUGAUGCUCCACCAGCACAGCCAUGCUCUUUACAUCUCCACACCAGAAAUCCAGACGCUCCUUCAUGCCCUUGAUCUGCACAAACAAUACACCACUGAGAGUCUCCUUCUGAUCGUGUGUGUGUGUGUGUGUGUGUGUGUGUGUGUGUGUGUGUGUGUGUGUGUGUGU